rnacentral:rRNA from 1 species
UAGGGAAUCUUCGGCAAUGGACGAAAGUCUGACCGAGCAACGCCGCGUGAGUGAAGAAGGUUUUCGGAUCGUAAAACUCUGUUGUUAGAGAAGAACAAGGACGUUAGUAACUGAACGUCCCCUGACGGUAUCUAACCAGAAAGCCACGGCUAACUACGUGCCAGCAGCCGCGGUAAUACGUAGGUGGCAAGCGUUGUCCGGAUUUAUUGGGCGUAAAGCGAGCGCAGGCGGUUUCUUAAGUCUGAUGUGAAAGCCCCCGGCUCAACCGAGCAGGGUCAUUGGAAACUGGGCGACUUGAGUGCAGAAGAGGAGAGUGGAAUUCCAUGUGUAGCGGUGAAAUGCGUAGAUAUAUGGAGGAACCCCAGUGGCGAAGGCGGCUCUCUGGUCUGUAACUGACGCUGAGGCUCGAAAGCGUGGGGAGCAAACAGG